rnacentral:tRNA from 1 species
GGUGGGGUAGCCAAGUGGUCGUACGGCGCCGCUUUCGAAAAGCGGUUGAGCGCAAGUUCACGUGGGUUCGAAUCCCACCUCCACCG